rnacentral:rRNA from 1 species
GCAGCCUGAUGCAGCCAUGCCGCGUGAGUGAAGAAGGCCCUAGGGUUGUAAAACUCUUUCACCGGUUAGGAUAAUGACGUUAACCGGAGAAGAAGUCCCGGCUAACUCCGUGCCAGCAGCCGCGGUAAUACAAGUUUC